rnacentral:rRNA from 1 species
CCUACGGGUGGCAGCAGUGAGGAAUAUUGGGCAAUGGACGAAAGCCUGAACCAGCCAAGCAGCGUGAAGGAUGACUGCCCUCUGGUUUGAAAACUUCUUUUAUAUGGAAGUAAAAUGUUCCACGUGUGGGAUUUUAUAUGUACCAUAUCAAUGAGGAUCGGCUAACUCCGUGCCAGCAGCCGCGGUAAUACGGAGGAUCCGAGCGUUAUCCGGAUUUAGUGGGUUUAAAGGGAGCGUAGGUGGAUUGUGAAGUCAGUUGUGAAAGUUUGGGGCUCAACCGUAAAAUUGCAGUUGAAACUGGCAGUCUUGAGUACAGUAGAGGCGGGCGGAAUUCGUGGUGUAGCGGUGAAAUGCUUAGAUAUCACGAAGAACUCCGAUGGCGAAGGCAGUUCACUGGACUGCAACUGACACUGAGGCGCGAAAGUGUGGGUAGCAAACAGGAUUAGAUACCCUGGUAGUC